rfam:Parcubacteria bacterium GW2011_GWA1_56_13 TY93_C0005, whole genome shotgun sequence.
UCUAGGCGCGAAUGGAAACCGUGCCGAUAGUGUAAUGGCAUAAGAGAGCUUAACUGCGAGGGGUACAUCCCGAGCAGAUGCGAAAGCAGAGCAUAGUGAUCCGAUGGUACGCCUUAGAUGCGGCCAGAGCUCAACGGAUAAAAGUUACCCUGGGGAUAACAGGCUAGUUCCGCCCAAGCGUCCUUAGCGACGGCGGAGUUCGGCACCUCGAUGUCGGCUCACCAUAGCGCGGGGGUGGAGAAGCUCCCAAGCGUUUGGCUGUUCGCCAAUUAAAAUGGUACGCGAGCUGGGUUCAGACCGUUCAGCGACUAACCAGUCGUUGGUACUUGAACGGUCUGAAUCCACGAGGAAGUGUUAGGUGCGUGGAGACGCACUGUGCGAAGACAUACUCACGGCGGUCGCGUGCAGGAAUGCACGCGAAGAAAUCAACUGAUAUCGGUGAAAUCCGACUCCAUUGUGUAUGGAGGGACAAUACCGAGGGAACCCGUUCGACCACUUCGUGGUCUCAGGGCGAAUCGUUAAACCGAUUCGUCCCGAGAAGCGAAGCGACGAGGGACCCGUAGAGACUGAAUGUUGAUCGUCGAGAACCGACGAAGUUACAGUCCGAUCCUCCGCGUAAGCGGAGCAAACGUAGAUGCGUGAGACAGGUUGGUCUCCUAUCUACUACAGGCGUUGAUUCUUGAGGGGGGUCGUCCCUAGUAAAUAAUUGCUACUUCGGAGAGAGAUCUCUGAUGAAAAUAUGGCUUAUAACGGUGAAGUCUGCGGUACUUCCGGUUUUAGAGGAUGAUGUCCCAAGGUCCAGUGGAUAUCACACUCGCUUGAGGACCAGAAUGUUACUAUGAUAAUACCGUGGGAAGUCGAUCAAAUAUUGAUGUAGAACGUGCGUAUAUUGCGGGCUUCUUGGACGGAGACGGGAGUCUCAUGCUCCAGGUAAAAAGGCGUGCGGAUUCGAAUCGCGGGGUGCGCUUCAUGGCGACGAUAUGUCUUUACCAAGAUACUCGCCACAAUGCGCCGCUCUCGUGGAUCCGAAGCCGAUUCAAGUGCGGUUACGUUUCUAAGAGAAAUGAUGGUAUGACCGAGUUGCGUAUCAAUGGUUUCUCGCAAGUGCGAGAAAUACUGAAGACGCUUCAGCCGCAUCUUCGUUUCAAGAGGAAACAAGCGAAACUUCUCAUUCAGGCAUGCAAACUGCUUGAACGGCAGACGCUCCGUACUACGAAGCCGAAAGAUAUACGGAAGAUUGUCGAUUUGCUCCUACUCAUUCAGAACGAAAACUAUAUGAGCAAGAAAAGAAAGACAAAAGAAGAGCUACAUCGGAUACUUGGUUUGACCCCGUAACGACUCGCGUUGAAAGACACGCGGACUCAUGUGCAGAGGAAUCAUUUCAAAGAAAAUGACUGCUCACAUGGGUAAGAUGCCAUCGUCCUAAUCUCGCACAAAUGGGAAAGGAUGAAGAUAUAGUCUGCGCUCCUGGAAACAGGGGAAGAAGCGACGAGAGGACCGGGAUGAACUGACCUCUGGUCUACCAGCUGUCGUGCCAACGGCACCGCUGGGUAGCUAUGUCGGGUUGCGAUAACCGCUGAAAGCAUAUAAGCGGGAAACGUGCCCCAAGAUUAGGAAUCGUUAUGAGACUCCUAGGAGAUGACUAGGUUGAUAGGCUUUAGGUGGAAGCGCCGUAAGGCGUGGAGCCGAGGAGUACUAAUAUGUCCAGUUUCUCGUGCGG